CUGAGUUAUUGAUGUCUAUAUAAACAAAAAAAAAUGAAGUAUGAUGCAUGUAAUAAACAGAGUUAGGCUUCAUCAUCAACUUGUUCGAGCUAGUUUGAUAUACUCACGUACUUAUACAUCAAAUUAGAGCAAGAAUGUCUACCUCAAAAGGCAAAACAAUUGAGAAGAAUUGGGAGAAGUUGGUCGAUACGAGACAAGAGAUAGAUCAACGAACAAACUAUAUUAAAAAUCAUCAAGAAAGUGGAACUGAUUCGAGGAAAGGAAGAUUUGAGGCCACAAGUGAUCUUUGGAAAUUGAAGGAUAAAGAGGAUCAACUCGAAGACAGAUUAGAGAGAUAUGGAGUUCCUAAAAGAAUGAUAUAACACUAUUUAUUUAUUUAUUUAUUGCUUGCCAGUUAUUUACUAGAAUGUUUAGAUUCUACUUAGUCCAUAGAUUUUGAUUUUGGAUUUUUCUAGAUUUGUUACUAAGAGUUCAAGUUUUUUCCAUAUAUUAAAAUAAAGAAACGUUUAGUUUAAAA